rnacentral:rRNA from 1 species
GACGAACGCUGGCGGCGUGCCUAAUACAUGCAAGUAGAACGCACAGUUUAUACCGUAGCUUGCUACACCAUAGACUGUGAGUUGCGAACGGGUGAGUAACGCGUAGGUAACCUGCCUGGUAGCGGGGGAUAACUAUUGGAAACGAUAGCUAAUACCGCAUAAUAUUAAUUAUUGCAUGAUAAUUAAUUGAAAGGUGCAAUUGCACCACUACCAGAUGGCCCUGCGUUGUAUUAGCUAGUAGGUGAGGUAACGGCUCACCUAGGCGACGAUACAUAUCCGACCUGGGAGGGUGAUCGGCCAAACUGGGACUGAGACACGGCCCAGACUCCUACGGGAGGCAGCAGUAGGGAAUCUUCGGCAAUGGACGAAAGUCUGACCGAGCAACGCCGCGUGAGUGAAGAAGGUUUUCGGAUCGUAAAGCUCUGUUGUAAGAGAAGAACGGGUGUGAGAGUGGAAAGUUCACACUGUGACGGUAUCUUACCAGAAAGGGACGGCUAACUACGUG